GACGAACGCUGGCGGCGUGCUUAACACAUGCAAGUCGAACGGAAAGGCCCUGCUUUUGUGGGGUGCUCGAGUGGCGAACGGGUGAGUAACACGUGAGUAACCUGCCCUUGACUUUGGGAUAACUUCAGGAAACUGGGGCUAAUACCGGAUAGGAGCUCCUGCUGCAUGGUGGGGGUUGGAAAGUUUCGGCGGUUGGGGAUGGACUCGCGGCUUAUCAGCUUGUUGGUGGGGUAGUGGCUUACCAAGGCUUUGACGGGUAGCCGGCCUGAGAGGGUGACCGGCCACAUUGGGACUGAGAUACGGCCCAGCCUCCUACGGGAGGCAGCAGUGGGGAAUAUUGCACAAUGGGCGGAAGCCUGAUGCCGCAACGCCGCGUGCGGGAUGACGGCCUUCGGGUUGUAAACCGCUUUCGCCUGUGACGAAGCGUGAGUGACGGUAAUGGGUAAAGAAGCACCGGCUAACUACGUG
rnacentral:rRNA from 1 species